rnacentral:rRNA from 1 species
ACGUAGGAUGCAAGCGUUGUCCGGAAUUAUUGGGCGUAAAGAGUUCGUAGGUGGUUAUCUAAGUCUGGUGUUAAAGACGGGAGCUCAACUCCCGCAUGGCAUCGGAAACUGGAUGGCUAGAGUGUGGAAGAGGUAACUGGAAUUCCUGGUGUAGCGGUGAAAUGCGCAGAUAUCAGGAGGAACACCUGUGGCGAAAGCGAGUUACUGGUCCAUUACUGACACUGAGGAACGAAAGCCAGGGUAGCAAAAGGGA